rnacentral:piRNA from 1 species
UGGCGGAUGGGCUCUAAACUCCACA